rnacentral:rRNA from 1 species
AGUGAACGCUGGCGGUAGGCCUAACACAUGCAAGUCGAACGGCAGCACAGUAAGAGCUUGCUCUUACGGGUGGCGAGUGGCGGACGGGUGAGGAAUACAUCGGAAUCUACUUUUUCGUGGGGGAUAACGUAGGGAAACUUACGCUAAUACCGCAUACGACCUACGGGUGAAAGCAGGGGAUCUUCGGACCUUGCGCGAUUGAAUGAGCCGAUGUCGGAUUAGCUAGUUGGCGGGGUAAAGGCCCACCAAGGCGACGAUCCGUAGCUGGUCUGAGAGGAUGAUCAGCCACACUGGAACUGAGACACGGUCCAGACUCCUACGGGAGGCAGCAGUGGGGAAUAUUGGACAAUGGGCGCAAGCCUGAUCCAGCUAUACCGCGUGGGUGAAGAAGGCCUUCGGGUUGUAAAGCCCUUUUGUUGGGAAAGAAAAGCAGCAGGUUAAGACCCCGCUGUUCUGACGGUACCCAAAGAAUAAGCACCGGCGAACUUCGG